UUUGCCCCGCUUUGGCUGUUUAACGGCUGCAUGUGCAGUGAUGCUAGAGUAGAACAGGUCUGGACCUUGUUAAUGUAACUGCUGCCAGCUUUCCUGUAAGGAUCCCCAUCCAGGCCCUUCAGCAACUGUAGGAGCGGGCGUGGUGUCGUCGCUACUGUCAAAUCCUGGACCCGGCAGCCGACUUUUUCCUGACUUGGACAUCAGCAGCGGAAGCAAGGGAAGUUUCAAGACACACAGUAAAGUUUGCUUCAGUCCAGGGAUCACAGUGCACAAAACCAGAGCAUACUUCUCUCUGAGCUCUCCGUGAUGUUGAAAAAGAAGCUUCUUCAAGGAUGACCAAAUGCUUACCCCGCCUUGUGCCCAGCUCAGUGCAGACAGAAGUCACUACACUGAACGAGAACUACAACCAGGAAGCAGUCUCCACCCUGAGAAGCAGCCAUUAGUACACAGAGGAGAUUCCAUGGACACGGGGCCAUCCACAGGAACACAAACAACCCAUCAGCUGCCAAACUGCUGAAGAAAAGUGACUCCCCUCCUCCAGCAGGCGUAAGUUGCCAGUGGCUAAGAGUGGAACUGCCUGAGUCCCCACCUCCAUCGAUGCUGCAAAGUGCGUGCCUCGACUUUGUGCAGGGCCAGCUUUAAGAGGACAGAGCCAUGGAUUGCGAGUGGGAGAGAUUGUGUCUGUAAGGGCAGAGGAGACACCAAUGAACUGAGUGCCACCUGCUUCCGUGUGGUUUGGUCAUCCCUCGGUACUGAUUACUAAUGCACAGUCAUAAAGAAGGCUCCAGUCAUAAGAGCAUUGUUGGAGACCAUUGAUAUUUGCAGAUAUCCCAUCCUAUUUUGGUUUUAGACCUCUAAGGUGCCUAUCUGAGUGACCUCAGUGUAACUAACAAUCUGACUAAAUGUAUUACUCAGUGCCAGGGCUACUGUAUGGGGAGCCGAACAAGACGCCACACAACAGCUACAUGGCAUGAAGAAGCCAAGGCCAGUGAUGGGAAGUGACCACUGUUCCAGGACUUUGAUUAGCUGAGGCCAGAGGAUCCCCACCCUGCCAAUGAAGAAAACCCUAAGAACUUAAUAUUCUUGGAUACUGUCUUAGUUAGGUGUCACGAGUCACGUCCCUACUCCUCAGCUGCAGGUGUUCUUGGGGGUCUAGAAUAUUUGGAAAGUAGAAAGUUACUGGGGGUGGGACUCCAGCCAUGUAGCUUUUGUGCUUCCUCAUCCACGCUGGGGUGGGGAUGUUCAGUGACUGGGCUGCUUUUGAGUCACCUGUGCUCCCAUGAGUCACCCCUCACCUCUGCAUCUAUAGAACCUCAAUGUUAUGGUUUGUAAAUGCUCUGCUCAGGGAGUGGCACUAUUAGGAGGUAUGGCCUUGUUGGAGGGGGUGUGUCACUGGGUGUGGGCUUUAAGACACUCAUCGUAGCUGCCUGGAAGCCAGUAUUCUGCUAGCAGCCAUCAGAUGAAGAUGUAGAACUCUCAGCUCCUCCUGCACCAUGCCUGCCUGGAUGCUGCUAUCUCCCCGCCUUGAUGAUAAUGGACUGAACCUCUGAACCUGUAAGCCAGCCUGAGUUAAAUGUUGUCCUUGUAAGAGUUGCCUUGGUCAUGGUGUCUGUUCACAGCAGUAAAACCCUAAGACACACAAUAAACUCAGAGUCACCAA
rnacentral:lncRNA from 1 species